rnacentral:tRNA from 1 species
GGCGGAUGUAGCCAAGGGGAUAAAGGCGGG